CAGCCGCCACGGUAAUACGUAGGGUGCAAGCGUUAAUCGGAAUUACUGGGCGUAAAGCGUGCGCAGGCGGUUAUAUAAGUCAGAUGUGAAAUCCCCGGGCUCAACCUGGGAACUGCAUUUGAGACUGUAUGCUAGAGUGUGUCAGAGGGGGGUAGAAUUCCACGUGUAGCAGUGAAAUGCGUAGAUAUGUGGAGGAAUACCGAUGGCGAAGGCAGCCCCCUGGGAUAACACUGACGCUCAUGCACGAAAGCGUGGGGAGCAAACAGGAUUAGAGACCCGCGUAGUCCCUGUCUCUUAUACA
rnacentral:rRNA from 1 species